rnacentral:rRNA from 1 species
AACGAACGCUGGCGGCAGGCCUAACACAUGCAAGUCGAACGCACCGCAAGGUGAGUGGCGCACGGGUGAGUAACACGUGGGAAUGUACCCUUUGGUUCGGAAUAACGUCUGGAAACGGACGCUAAUACCGGAUGAGCCCUGCGGGGGAAGGAUUUAUGGCCAAAGGAGCAGCCCGCGUCUGAUUAGCUAGUUGGUGGGGUAAAGGCCGACCACGGCGACGAUCAGUAGCUGGUCUGCGAGGAUGAUCAGCCACACUGGGACUGAGACGAGGCACAGAAUCCUACAGGAGGCAGCAAGGGGGAAUAUUGGACAAUGGGCGGAAGCCUGAUCCAGCCAAGCCGCGUGAGUGAUGAAGGCCUUCGGGUUGUAAAGCUCUUUCGCACGCGACGAUGAUGACGGUAGCGUGAGAAGAAGCCCCGGCUAACUUCGUGCCAGCCGCCGCGGUAAUAC